rnacentral:rRNA from 1 species
GAUGAACGCUGGCGGCGUGCCUAAUACAUGCAAGUCGAGCGAACAGACGAGGAGCUUGCUCCUCUGACAUUAGCGGCGGACAGGGGAGUAACACGUGGAUAACCUACCUAUAAGACUCGGAUAAAUUCGGGAAACCGGAGCUAAUACCGGAUAAUAUAUUGAACCGCAUGGUUCAAUAGUGAAAGACGGUUUUGCUGUCACUUUAAGAUGUAUCCGCGCCGCAUUAGCUAGUUGGUAAGGUAACGGCUUACCAAGGCAACGAUGCGUAGCCGACCUGAGAGGGUGAUCGGCCACACUGGAACUGAGACACGGUCCAGACUCCUACGGGAGGCAGCAGUAGGGAAUCUUCCGCAAUGGGCGAAAGCCUGACGGAGCAACGCCGCGUGAGUGAUGAAGGUUUUCGGAUCGUAAAACUCUGUUAUUAGGGAAGAACAAAUGUGUAAGUACCUAUGCACGUCUUGACGGUACCUAAUCAGAAAGCCACGGCUAACUACGUG